CUAUUAUAAAAUCAAAAGUUCAACCAAAACUGGAAUGAUACAGAGAAGAUUAGCAUGGCUCCUAUGCAAAGAUGACACACAAAUUUGUGAAGCAUUACAUAUUUUU
rnacentral:snRNA from 1 species